rnacentral:rRNA from 1 species
AGAGUUUGAUCAUGGCUCAGGAUAAACGCUGGCGGCGUGCCUAACACAUGCAAGUCGAACGAUCCCGCAAGGGAGAGUGGCGGAAGGGUGAGUAACACGUGGGAAUCUACCUCCUCGCAGGGAACAACCUCUCGAAAGAGAGGCUAAUACCCAAAAGGGUCAGAAAUGAUCAGAGUCGAAAGGCGUGAGGAGAGGAGCCCGCGGCCCAUCAGCUAGUUGGUGAGGUAAUGGCUUACCAAGGCUACGACGGGUAGGGGAUCUGAGAGGAUGUCCCCCACACUGGAACUGAAACACGGUCCAGACGCCUACGGGUGGCAGCAGUGAGGAAUAUUGGACAAUGGGCGAAAGCCCGAUCCAGCAACGCCGCGUGGAGGAUGAAGGCCUUCGGGUCGUAAACUUCUUUAGAGGGAGACGAGAAAGGACGGUAUCCCUAGAAUAAGCGACGACAAACUACGUG